CUGGAGUACUGUGUCCAGUUCUGGUCACCAAUGUAUAGAAAGGAUGUAGAGAAACUGGAAAGGAUCCAGAGGCAAGCAACAAGGAUGAUCAAAGGGAUGUAAUGUAAACCAUAUGAGCAAAGGCUGAAGGAACUGGAUAUGUUUAGUUUGG